rnacentral:lncRNA from 1 species
ACACAAAAGAAGUUUCUUUUCUCUUUUUAUUGUUUUCCCCCUGCACCCAUGACGCAUGGAAGUUCUGGGACCACCAGGCCAGGAAUCGAAUCUGAGCUGCAUCUGAGACCUGUGCCACAGCUGCGGCUACACCAGAGCCUUAACUCACUACUCCGGGCUGGGGAAUCAAAUCGGCAAUGCCACAGAGACAAGCCAGACCAUUAAACCACUGGCCACAAUGGGAACUCCAAAACAAAGUUCUUUCUCAUGUAAAGUUCUGGUCUGCGGUGGCCCUGCUGUAAGAGGUGGUCCAUGGACUGUGGAACUUUCUAUUUUGAGGCUUCUUUGUCCUCCCGCUUGGUUUCCAAGGUCACUGUGCUGCUUUGCUCUAAGGGAAAUGAGCAAGGGGGGUUGUACAAGCUGAAUUUUAGGGCCCAGACCCUCAUUCUUGCUCAUGUUCUGUUGGUCAGGGCUCAGUCACACGACCACCUCUAACUGCAAGGGAGGCUGGGACGUGGAUGUUAGCCCAGGGCCCUGCAAGAAGAGAAAGCAGGUUCCCCCUACUCCAGACUUGUUGCUUAUUGAAAAAACAAACAUCUCAAUUUUCCUUUCAAAAGCAAUAUACUCUCUGUGUAGAAAAAUCAUAACCCAAACUUAAUGCCAUCUGAGACUAGCUUAGCUCUUGGGUGAACUUUCAUGAUUCUUACCUGGCCAGGUGACAGUUCUUUUUUCACCUUCAGAGGAUCACAAGUGAGGAAGAAAUUGUCCCCCUUGUAUCUGUUUGCAGGAUUUCGUCUUUUCUUUGUCAAUGCAAGGAGGCUAGGAAAAAUAACAGAUGAGAUACAUGAAGUCAUUGAUGAUAACGUGGCAAGAGCUUGGGUUCCAGGGGAUCGAACCCACAACCCCAUGGUUCCUAGUUGGAUUUGUUUCUGCUGCUCCACAACAGGAACUCCUUACUAGCCAAAUAUUAUGCAGUAUUUUUCUCCACUCAUGAAUUUUUUGGAUCUGUGUACAUGUGCUAGUUCAUUCAUUUGAAGUGCUGUCUUGUCUUCCAUCAGCUGACUCUCACCCUUGCCAUUUAUUUUUCCACUCCCCAGUAACACAUAUAAUACAAGUGCAUUGUCUUCAGUUCCCCGCUCUGGGUAAUUAAUAGUCUCCUUACCUAAGUGUUCAGACAAGGAACCUUAGAGCCCGCUGUUAAAUGACCCAGCUAAGGUGUCACAGUUUUCACAGGCAGUGGAACCAGAGAAUGAGCCAAAACGGACCAUAUCUUCCCUCCCAGGCAAUCGUCUUUCUCACUGCUCCACAGUUAUCUCCUUUCAGGAAAAGGAGAUGAUAAAUUUGCAGGAAGUGUUAGAGAGUUUUAUCUUUAAAAAGCUCCAGGGAGAAAACGACCUUGUUUUGAGAGCAGUGUGAAGGUUUGAUGCCAGAUGGGGUCUCCCCAUGUGUUUCGAGGGCAGAGAACAGACCCGUGUGUGGCGGGAGGGUCACCCCCGACUUGGGGUCUUGUCCGUUGCCUUCCUGGGUGGCUUCCUGGGCAGAGACAGUGAGUGUGACAACCACCUUGAAGCUGGCCUUCUUUUCACAAGGGCAGCCAGACACUCAGGGGACUUUAUCUCCCAGCAUAGAGAGUCCCUGGGGGAACGGGACCACUUCUGUCCUUGGGGGGGAGGGGUGUCCGCGGGGGGUGGUCCCCGCAUCCUUUUUUUCCCAUUUCCACUGAAUAUAGUGUCACUGGAGAGCAGGAUUUGAAACCAGUUAACCUCAAAAGAGGCCAGUCAUGUCUGUCCCCAUUUCUCUUUGAAAAAUGAUGAAUGAUAAACAGUCCUCGAGGUUUACAAAUCUACCAAAAGACGGUCAAGGUUCUGAAACAAUGAGGACAUUCUUUUCCACGCUGAGGAUGGCACCAGGGCCUUGACGCCACCUGGCUCGGUCACUGGCUUCGGAGAGGGCCUGGGGCUGUUUUCGCAACUUCCCAGAGUUUCAGUUUCCUUGUCUUUCAAAGCAGAUGCUGUUGACAGUCACUUGUACCAUCAGACCAAGACUGACCAAUUGUGAGCCUCAGGGCCCCCCCCUCGCAGGAGCCCUUCCAGGACCUCCUAUCUCAUUUUUAUUCGUAAUUUGAUAUGCGUUUUUAUAAAGUGCAUCCCCCAAGUUGUGUAAGCUGUGGCCCC